AACUCCUUUUGCUUUUCAGUUCCAGAACGGAAUACCAGAGCCAAUGGGAAGAUUUGCCCAGGCUGCUCGUCUGACAAAGGCGACUGUUCUGCAGCGGUCACAGAAUGUAUUGGAUCUGAAACUUACUGUGUUAGUUAUGUCACACUUACAGAGAAGAAUGUCGUAAUCAGCUCCAGGAAGGGCUGCACUCGUGAAGGCAUCUGCACCCAGUUAAAAACAUUUGACGGAGGGAUUUUUCAUGAUGUUAAUCGUGUUAAAAAUGUUCAGUGUUCCCCAGCCAUGGCAGCCUCCACUUCUUCUUCUCCUCCUCCUCCUCUCUUCCUUCCCCUCCCAUUCGGGUUCCUUCUCCUGGCUCUCCUGCUGACGAAGCUUCUCUUGAAAUGAGCUUCUUGCACCAUUUCACUGCUGAAGAAAGAUGCCUCUUGUUUUUGAGUUUCAGAGGGAUUUGCCUUCCUCUAUGCUUUAUUGAGUGAAAUAAAUAAAA